AUUGAACGCUGGCGGCAUGCCUUACACAUGCAAGUCGAGCGGUAACAGGUCUUCGGAUGCUGACGAGUGGCGAACGGGUGAGUAAUACAUCGGAACGUGCCUAGUAGUGGGGGAUAACUACUCGAAAGAGUGGCUAAUACCGCAUGAGAUCUAUGGAUGAAAGCAGGGGAUCGCAAAACCUUGUGCUACUAGAGCGGCCGAUGGCAGAUUAGGUAGUUGGUGGGAUAAAAGCUUACCAAGCCGACGAUCUGUAGCUGGUCUGAGAGGACGAUCAGCCACACUGGGACUGAGAAACGGCCCAGACUCCUACGGGAGGCAGCAGUGGGGAAUUUUGGACAAUGGGCGCAAGCCUGAUCCAGCAAUGCCGCGUGCAGGAUGAAGGCCUUCGGGUUGUAAACUGCUUUUGUACGGAACGAAAAGCCCCGGGUUAAUACCCUGGGGUCAUGACGGUACCGUAAGAAUAAGCACCGGCUAACUACGUGCCAGCCGCCGCCGUAA
rnacentral:rRNA from 1 species